rnacentral:lncRNA from 1 species
GGAAUGGAAGCAAAGAUUGAGAAGGGUGGAGUCAGGUGUGGAGCCUUUGGGACAGCAAGGGGAGCACAGUGCUGAGUGUGUCCCGUCCCUUUCAGCCUCACUAACACAUUCCCUUUCCUGUGUCUUCUUUCAAGGGAAGAAGAAGGGGCCCAGCUCUGUGGUUGUUGAACCACAGGGCUGGGUUCGGCCUGAUUGUGGACCGAGAGCCACACGGGGGACCCAGGCCGAAACUCAAAGAGGCGCUGUUGCCUGAACACCCAGCGCCCACCAUCCACCAAUGGGAAUCACAACAAGGGCCCUGCACCUCUUGGUUUCUUGGAUUGCGAUUUUUCCUGAACUUUGCAGAAGGUUCUGUUCCUGUUUUGAAAGUAAAGCAGGCCCUGCCAGGCCUGGGCCACAGAGACCGUGCAAGUACAGUAGCCGUGGAACUACUUUGUCCUGAGAGCCCACCGCUUCUCUCAGGCCCAGCAGGGAUCCUUGACAUCCAGAAGAUUGGUACUUGCAGCCAGUGGUGCUGUACGGGGCAAUGCUGGCUGCAGUGACUGCAGUGUUCUCCUGGGCUCCUUUCAGGUGGAGGCACCGGCUGUUUGUUCAGGGACAGUGCACCUGGCUCUGGAUGAAGGAAAUAAAUCUGGGUAUCAUGAGGCUGAGGGGACAGAGUCCACUAGGUUCCUGUUUAUGUGUAAGAUGAGUUUUUGAGGCAUAGUCUUGACUUCUAGUUUGCUGAGUUUUUUAGAGAAGUGACAUGAAGAAAGAUGAGGUGGCCAGUGAAGCCCCCCCAUCACUCCUACGGGAAGUUGACAUUGGCCUUGCCUUUCUGAAAUGCAAAGUGAGAAUGACAGACAAUGGGUCAUAUGGAUAGGGAUGGCCCCUGGGGACUAGCGUGCUAGGCAACAGGUCUCUGCUCUGACCUAUUGUCCUCAGACCAUUGUGGACAUCAUCUUACAUCUGUAUGGCAUGACAGCCAUGCAGUAACCAGCCAUCAUUGCAUUGCAUCAUGUUCUGAACCAUGAGCACCAGGUGAAUCCAACCUGAGAAACAGGG